ACAAAGCAAGUCCACGGUACCUCCUCCUAAUAACCAGAUGACAGCGGUACCAUCGUGAUGAUGAUACCGAUGAGACCCAGUCCACUUCCACCGCUGGAACCUUCUUCUUUUUAUAUUCCAAGCAAAAAAAAAAAACCCAAAAAUUCAAAGUAGAACAUUUCGACCACAUGACUUUAGAACAAUUUAAAUGAUGGGAGUUCUUGAUGGAGACGUCGUUAUGGCAACCGCAUCCUCCUCCAAGCACCAAGAUGCAAGCGAAGGAAAUCACCCGGGACCAAGCCCAACUGAUCAACGCUAAAUGUAUGGCAAGAGAGCCAGUGUGUUGAGCUGCUGGCUCCGCCCCCUCAUCACGGUCCCAGGCUGAAUGGCAGGCUGCUGGGUACCCUAAGUGAUGAAAUGAUGACCCCAUUAAGAGAAGCGCUUCCAAAAAUGAGGGGUAUCGGCCAAAGAUUGCGACUCCUCUCUCUCGGCGCCUUGCCGCCACCGCCGCCGCCGUCCUGCUCUCGCUGCUGCACAAAUCAUGAUUGAUUCGCUUGAGAUGGAUCACAGGAAGCACCUAUUGAUUUUUUCCCCUCACUAAAAAAAAAUACUUAUUUACAGUUAUCCAGACUUACUCAAUAUCCACUUUUUUUCCAAACAAGUGAUGGGAUAAAAGAGUUAAUUCUCCUUGCUCCAUGACUUGACAAAUGACCUGUGAUAUUAUUUCAGUGAGGAGUCAAUAUGGCUGCCGGACUAAAUGAAUAUUGAUUGGUUAUAAUGAAGCCAGAGUGUGGAUAUGAGCUCUUUCAGGGGCCCCUGACGCAGCCAGCAUCCACGAUGAUGCCUCACACACUGCGGCUCCCUUUAGAAAUGAUCGGUUCCAGAAUUAACCUGUUGCCUUCAGAAUGCCUUUAACAAUACAGGCAGCAUUUCAAGUAGUUUUAAAGUGGAAAAAUAACUUAACCACUCUGUAACCGUACAGACGUAAUCUAAAAUAACUGGACUUUUGAUGACAAAACUGAGGAAAAGAUGGUCCAAUUUCAUGCAUUGUUUUGUUUUAAGUGUAAUGAUACAUUAACCUAACUAAAUUCAACCAGGUUAAAAUUAAAAAACAUUUGAACAUUAGCAAGUGUCACACAAGAGUUGUUCAUUGACAUUAAAUGCAACUUAAUUUUCAGACUUUUGUGUAAAAAAAAUUAAUUUUGAUUUUAUUAAUGGAAAACCCCUUGAGAUGCAGCAUCAGUGACAUUUAAAAUUAACCCAAUACAGUACAACACAGUACAAUUUACACAACAAACAAUUACAGACAAUCAUUAAUUUUGCUCAGAUACCUCACAGGUCACACAACUCUCUCAGAAUGUAAUAUAUUUACAAUAGAAUAACAUAUUAUUGCAGUAAAAUAAAUAUAAUGUUAUUCAAUUCAAUUCCAACCAAGAGCAUACAGUUUUAAGACGAACAAAAAGAGACAUUUUGAAGGGACCAAUGGUUGAUAAAGACCUCAGAGAGACAGAAAAGAAGUUACCCGCUGUCAUAAUACCGUUAAAUGACAUCAAAUAAUUCUACAUUCAUAUUACCCUCGGAGAAAGCAUACAGCACACGCAAAAAUGUACACAAAAAGUUCUUGUUUAACACGUUGGGCUGUCAUUCAAGUGUAAAAAUAAGUUAACCGCUGUAUAAUAGGAUGCAUUAAAAUAAUACAAUUGCUCACACUUGGCAAAGGCAUUGUUUAUUGGCAAGUUUCCUUUUGCACUUAUUAAAAAAAUGUGUCAUUCAAGUGCAAAUAUAAGUUAAACAGUCUUUUUUUUUUUUUUUACACAAAAUUUAUUUUGCACGAGUGUAGUGUGCGGUAAAGGUGUUGCAACUUCAUGCAUCAUAUUUGUGUACAUUCUUAACUCAUACUUCAUAGCUGAAUGUGCCUAAGAGGUGAGUCUCACCACAUACUACAGUAAAUAUUCACCAAAAAGAGCACCAUUUGCAUGAUACGUCCCGCUUUAUUAUUAUUGACUGUAUCCAUAUUGUACUGAGCAGCCCAACAUAGACUUUGCAGUACAUUUCAUUUCCUGUUGUAUGGUAUUAACUACACUUUUUUCAUGUUAU